rnacentral:rRNA from 1 species
UUUUGUUGGAGAGUUUGAUCCUGGCUCAGGACGAACGCUGGCGGCGUGCUUAACACAUGCAAGUCGAGCGGAAAGGCCCUUCGGGGUACUCGAGCGGCGAACGGGUGAGUAACACGUGAGCAACCUGCCCUAGGCUUUGGGAUAACCCCGGGAAACCGGGGCUAAUACCGAAUAUGACCACAUGUCGCAUGGUGUGUGGU